rnacentral:sRNA from 1 species
GGCGGGUGUGGUGGCGCACACCUGUCAUUCCAGCGACUCAGGAGGCUGAGGCAGGAGGAUCCUGAGUUCAAAGCCAGCCUCAGCAACAGCGAGGUCCUAUACAACUCAGGGAGGCCCUGUCUCUA